CGCUAGCUACAGGCUUAACACAUGCAAGUCGAGGGGCAGCGCAGUGUAGCAAUACAUGGGCGGCGACCGGCGCACGGGUGCGUAACGCGUAUCCAACCUUCCCGUUACUCAGGGAUAGCCUUCCGAAAGGGAGAUUAAUACCUGAUGGUGUUUGAAUUCCGCAUGUUAUUCAAACUAAAGAUUUAUCGGUAACGGAUGGGGAUGCGUGACAUUAGAUAGUAGACGGGGUAACGGCCCACCUAGUCUACGAUGUCUAGGGGUUCUGAGAGGAAGGUCCCCCACACUGGAACUGAGACACGGUCCAGACUCCUACGGGAGGCAGCAGUGAGGAAUAUUGGUCAAUGGUCGGAAGACUGAACCAGCCAAGUAGCGUGAAGGAUGAAGGUUCUAUGGAUUGUAAACUUCUUUUAUACGGGAAUAAAACCUCCCACGUGUGGGAGCUUGUAUGUACCGUAUGAAUAAGCAUCGGCUAACUCCGUGCCAGCAGCCGCGGUAAUACGGAGGAUGCGAGCGUUAUCCGGAUUUAUUGGGUUUAAAGGGAGCGUAGACGGGAGAUUAAGCCAGUUGUGAAAGGCUGCGGCUCAACCGCAGCACUGCAGUUGAUACUGGUUUCCUUGAGUUCGGUUGAGGUAUGAGGAAUUCGUGGUGUAGCGGUGAAAUGCUUAGAUAUCACAAAGGACUCCGAUUG
rnacentral:rRNA from 1 species